UGCGUAGGCGGUUUUUUAAGUCAGAUGUGAAAUACCCGGGCUUAACCUGGGGGGUGCAUUUGAAACUGGGAAACUUGAGUGCAGGAGAGGAAAGUGGAAUUCCUAGUGUAGCGGUGAAAUGCGUAGAUAUUAGGAGGAACACCAGUGGCGAAGGCGACUUUCUGGACUGUAACUGACGCUGAGGCACGAAAGCGUGGGGAGCAAACAGGAUUAGAUACCCUGGUAGUCCACGCUGUAAACGAUGGAUACUAGGUGUAGGGGGCGAUAGUCCUCUGUGCCGCAGCUAACGCAAUAAGUAUCCCGCCUGGGGAGUACGAUCGCAAGGUUGAA
rnacentral:rRNA from 1 species